CGGUGCCACCAGGGGAGGCCUGGACUAGGCUGAGGCAUGGACGGUGCCUGCUCAGGGCCCCUCGGCUCACCCACAUUUCAGGCCAGUGCUGGCCUGCGGGGCGAGUGCAGACGUGUGUCCCCCACAACCUCCCAAACGCCAGCCAGUGCCCCCUCUGGCUGCGUGCAGUUCUGCCAGCAGUGGACUGGGGUGGGAACCUGGUGCACCACCCACACACACACACACACACACACACACGCAUGCACGGUCAGCCACGAUGACCACCACACCACAGGUGCUUCCUAGCUCGCACAGCGCCUGCACCACAGGGAAUGGAGUCAAUAUUCCUGCAUGGGGUUUGGAGGGCCAGGGUCAGUGAAUCCAGACCCAGACACUGCAGAGGAAGAUCUAAGGGAGCCCCCUGCCCCGGGAAGUGGCAAGAGCUGAAUCUGGGACCCGGAUGAAUUCUGAGUCCAGCCUGAGCACCUCCUGCCCUUGUGUCACUCUGACCCCCAAGGAGGCCAAGAGCAGGGCGGGGAGGACUUGGCACCCCCAGGGUCGGCUGAGUGAGGAGUGGGCAUUGGAAGGAGCAGACCCCCCUGGAAGAAGGAACACAGUGGAAACAGAACCGCGUUCUCAAACCCCAGCCAGGACGGAGACCUGGGCCCGCUCAGUUGGGAACGGCGACCAGGGCAGGGCUCUGCAAACGCAUCACAAGGCUUUCUCUGUGACGCGAUCCAGAGGGUUAAAAAAGAGAAUGCGCCUCCCCUGCCCUGCCUCGCACGCUGGGUCCUGCACCCUGGUUACCCUCGAGGCUCCUUCUCCCCGCGACACAUUAGAAUCAGUCCUCAAGGGCCCUCGGCUCUGGGCAGAGCAGGUGCCAGGAGGAAGUGUGGGGGAGGGAGCCGCCGAUGACUUGGGCCCACCAAGCCCUGUGUGCUUUUGUCAAGGGCGACUUUACCCUUCGCACCCCAUCUGUCGGUCCACAGAGCCAGGGCUGAGCCUCUCACUUCUCACUGACUUUGGCUCCUGGCUCCAGCCCUUCGUGCUGGAAUAUUCUAGAACAAAGUUCAGGCUUCACUUGGGGCUCUCUGGCAAUCCACAGCUUCGCUGUGAAUGGCUCUGUCAUCCUGAACGCCCAGCGCCACCCCUGAGCCAUCGCUGUCCGUGCAGAAGUCAGAAUUCCACACGAGUGACUCCGUUUUGACAGGAAUCUAUUAGCCUCUGCCGGGGGCGGGGGGCAGUCAGCAUUUCAGCGCCCGGCAGAGAGCAGGCCCCGGGAAUGGCACGUGACCUCGGGCUGGGCCACUCUCCUCCGCUUCCCAUAGCAUCUCGGGUCUCCAGGAAGUCUCGAAGCUUCUGAGACGAGGACUUGCACCGUCUGCUGCUUUCUCUCUUUCUGUGGACUUCAGGGGACUCAGGAACGGGUGCUUGAUUGCAUUAAACAAAAAUAUGAGGCGGCUUCGCCAUGUUUGCACACCACAGUGGACAGCUGCCUGACCCCCCCUCUCUGGAAGACGGUCGCCCCUUUGCUUUUAACGUCUGUAGCAGACGCUUGGACAGUGCUGAGAUCUCCGUGUCCUGGAGCAACAUCUCAAAACAAGAUAACAGGGUGUCUGUCUGGGGAUAAUAAAAGCUUGAAAGAAGAAACGCUGCUGUUACAUUGGCAGUCACAGCUCCGUGAGCCUCAUCAUUUUAUCCCGUGAGUCUGGAGCGCGGCCCCAAAUCCCACCCUAAACCAGACGGGGCCGCGAGAUUCAUCUCCGCGGCUUCUGUUUGCCACGAGGAGUGAGGACGCGGCUGAGCGGUGACGGUGCCUCCUGUAUUACUGUGCGCACUCCUGCGUCCCGGGGAGGGGGGUGCCACGGCCUCGUCCAGCUUUCCCGGGUGCAGCCUGCAAACCAGUUCAUCUCUUCUGCAAACCGCUAUCCGGGCCUAACGACUUGGCCGGGCACAGCGGAAGUCCUGGCGUGGUGGCGUGGCCAUGGGCAGGCUGGGACAUCGUGCCUCUGCUGGAGACCAAGUGUGCUCAGAUUCGGAGAGGCCAUCAGCCACACCCAGUGGAUUCGGGUGCGGCCGAGACAAACGCACUUCUCUGUGCU